AGUGAACGCUGGCGGUAGGCCUAACACAUGCAAGUCGAACGGCAGCACAGGAGAGCUUGCUCUCUGGGUGGCGAGUGGCGGACGGGUGAGGAAUACAUCGGAAUCUACUCUGUCGUGGGGGAUAACGUAGGGAAACUUACGCUAAUACCGCAUACGACCUACGGGUGAAAGCAGGGGACCUUCGGGCCUUGCGCGAUUGAAUGAGCCGAUGUCGGAUUAGCUAGUUGGCGGGGUAAAGGCCCACCAAGGCGACGAUCCGUAGCUGGUCUGAGAGGAUGAUCAGCCACACUGAAACGGGGGCACGGUCCAGACUCCUACGGGAGGCAGCAGCGGGGAAUAUUGGACAAUGGGCGCAAGCCUGAUCCAGCCAUACCGCGUGGGUGAAGAAGGCCUUCGGGUUGUAAAGCCCUUUUGUUGGGAAAGAAAUCCAGCUGGCUAAUACCCGGUUGGGAUGACGGUACCCAAAGAAUAAGCACCGGCUAACUUCGUGCCAGCAGCCGCAGUAA
rnacentral:rRNA from 1 species